GACGAACGCUGGCGGCGUGCUUAACACAUGCAAGUCGAACGGAAAGGCCCUGCUUUUGUGGGGUGCUCGAGUGGCGAACGGGUGAGUAACACGUGAGUAACCUGCCCUUGACUUUGGGAUAACUUCAGGAAACUGGGGCUAAUAACGGAUAGGAGCUCCUGCUGCAUGGUGGGGGUUGGAAAGUUUCGGCGGUUGGGGAUGGACUCGCGGCUUAUCAGCUUGUUGGGGGGGUAGUGGCUUACCAAGGCUUUGACGGGUAGCCGGCCUGAGAGGGUGACCGGCCACAUUGGGACUGAGAUACGGCCCAGACUCCUACGGGAGGCAGCAGUGGGGAGUAUUGCACAAUGGUCGGGAGCCUGAUGCAGCAACGCCGCGUGCGGGAUGACGGCCUUCGGGUUGUAAACCGCUUUCGCCUGUGACGAAGCGUGAGUGACGGUAAUGGGUAAAGAAGCACCGGCUAACUACGUG
rnacentral:rRNA from 1 species